rnacentral:rRNA from 1 species
UUCCAGACUCCUACGGGAGGCAGCAGUGGGGGAUAUUGCACAAUGGGGGGAACCCUGAUGCAGCGACGCCGCGUGAGUGAAGAAGUAUUUCGGUAUGUAAAGCUCUAUCAGCAGGGAAGAAAAUGACGGUACCUGGAGAAUAAGCCACGGCUAACUACGUGCCAGCAGCCGCGGUAAUACGUAGGUGGCGAGCGUUGUCCGGAAUUACUGGGUGUAAAGGGAGCGUAGACGGUGAAGUAAGUCUGGAGUGAAAGGCGGGGGCCCAACCCCCGGACUGCUCUGGAAACUAUUUGACUGGAGUGCAGGAGAGGUAAGCGGAAUUCCUAGUGUAGCGGUGAAAUGCGUAGAUAUUAGGAGGAACACCAGUGGCGAAGGCGGCUUACUGGACUGUAACUGACGUUGAGGCUCGAAAGCGUGGGGAGCAAACAGGAUUAGAUACCCCUGUA